rnacentral:tRNA from 1 species
ACCAGGAUGGCCGAGUGGUUAAGGCGUUGCACUCAAGAUGCAAUGGACAGUUGUCCAUGUGGGUUCAAGUCCCACUCCUGGUA